GAAGAACGCAGCGAAAUGCGAUACGUAAUGUGAAUUGCAGAAUUCAGUGAAUCAUCGAAUCUUUGAACGCAUAUUGCGCUCUCUGGUAUUCCGGAGAGCAUGCUUGUUUGAGUAUCAGUAAACACCUCAACUUCCAUAUCUUUUUUGAAAUGGGAGUUGGACUUGAGUGAUCCCAACGCUUUUCCUCACCGAAAAGUGGCGGGUUACUUGAAAUGCAGGUGCAGCUGGACUUUUCUCUGAGCUAUAAGCAUAUCUAUUUAGUCUGCCUAAAAAACAGAUUAUUACCUUUGCUGCAGCUAACAUAAAGGAGAUUAGUUCUUGUGCUGACUGAUGCAGGAUUCACAAAGACAGGCUUCGGCCGACUUUGUAAACUCGAUCUCAAAUCAAGUAAGACUACCCGCUGAACUUAAGCAUAUCAAUAAGCGGAGGA
rnacentral:misc_RNA from 1 species